rnacentral:rRNA from 1 species
CCUACGGGUGGCAGCAGUGAGGAAUAUUGGUCAAUGGGCGCGAGCCUGAACCAGCCAAGUAGCGUGAAGGAUGACUGCCCUACGGGUUGUAAACUUCUUUUAUAAAGGAAUAAAGUGAGGCACGUGUGCCUUUUUGUAUGUACUUUAUGAAUAAGGAUCGGCUAACUCCGUGCCAGCAGCCGCGGUAAUACGGAGGAUCCGAGGGUUAUCCGGAUUUAUUGGGUUUAAAGGGAGCGUAGAGGGGUUGUUAAGUAAGGUGUGAAAGUUUGCGGCUCAACCGUAAAAUUGCCAUUGAUACUGGCAGCCUUGAGUACAUUUGAGGUAGGCGGAAUUCGUGGUGUAGCGGUGAAAUGCUUAGAUAUCACGAAGAACUCCGAUUGCGAAGGCAGCUUACUAAACUGCCACUGACAUUGAUGCUCGAAAGUGUGGGUAUCAAACAGGAUUAGAUACCCCAGUAGUC